rnacentral:rRNA from 1 species
CUACGGGAUGCUGCAGUGAGGAAUAUUGCACAAUGGGGGGAACCCUGAUGCAGCAACGCCGCGCGGAGGAUGACGCAUUUCGGUGUGUAAACUCCUUUUAUAUGUCAAGAAAAUGACGGUAGCAUAUGAAUAAGCACCGGCUAACUCCGUGCCAGCAGCCGCGGUAAUACGGAGGGUGCAAGCGUUACUCGGAAUCACUGGGCGUAAAGGACGCGUAGGCGGGUUGGAAAGUCAGGUGUGAAAUCCUACAGCUUAACUUGUAGAACUGCACUUGAAACUUCUAAUCUAGAGUAUGGGAGGGGGAGAUGGAAUUAGUGGUGUAGGGGUAAAAUCCGUAGAUAUCACUAGGAAUACCUAAAGCGAAGGCGAUCUCCUGGAACAUUACUGACGCUAAGGCGUGAAAGCGUGGGGAGCAAACAGGAUUAGAUACCCGCGUAGUC